rnacentral:lncRNA from 10 species
UUGUGAAGUCAGGAAGAAAAUGUGAAGAGUUCAAGCAUCUUUUCUGGAUCAUCCGAGGAAAACAGUUCAAGAUUUCCAAUAAUAGUAAAAACAUCAAACAGAUAUCUCAGAGGUUUCUAUGAACCAGACAAUGAGGAAUGGUAGAAUAAACCACUCCUGCCAACCCUUCAGCUAAGAAGUAGAAAAGCUGGACCAAAAAACCUGUUGGAAGACAUCAGACAGCUAACAAAGCAAAGAAACAUUGUAAGGCACAGAUCCAGGAAAAGAAAGAAACUCAGCCCAGCUUUUCUCCAGGGUCAAAUUCCAGAAGAAAAGGCUAAGAAACUGAGCAGGGCUUUAGAUUCACCCCUGUGAAGAGGACAAAUUAGAGUCUGCCAAGGAGGGAGUUUUUGGGAAAUCUGAAGAUUAUGGAGUAUGAGUGAGUGGGAAGCUUCAAAGGUAGUGCAGCAGAACAGAGAUUACCAGCUGCUUCUUUGAACAAUGAUUCUGGAAGGAGUGUCGUGGAGACGGGGGACAUCAGAGGCUGGGACCCACCAGGAGGCAAUGA